GACAGAGGUGCCGAGCGUUAGGCGGAAUCACUGGGCUUAAAGCGUGUGUAGGCGGGCGGGCAAGUACCCUGUGAAAUCCCACGGCUCAACCGUGGAACGGCUGGGUAUACUGCCUGUCUUGAGCCAACUAGGGGCGAGCGGAACAGACGGUGGAGCGGUGAAAUGCGUAGAUAUCGUCUGGAACGCCAAAGGUGAAAACAGCUCGCUGGGGUUGUGCUGACGCUGAGACACGAAAGCCAGGGGAGCGAACGGG
rnacentral:rRNA from 1 species